UAUAAAAAGGUGUAAAGUAGAAAAAUAUUUAACAGUAUUUCUAUAUAUUUUAUAUCGGAAAGGAGUAAUUUGUUGGCGGAAAAAUGAAAAUAAUUACAUUAUUCCUUGUGGUCGCAUGUAUUGUUGCCGCUGCAAUGGCAGAUCCAGACAAUUUUAAUGCCCAAGGUGUUGUUAAUUCCGGUUAUUGGAAUCAAGGAGGAAAAUAAUUUAUAUUAAUUAAUACGUUUAUAUUAAAAAUAUAAAUAAAUUUAUAAUUUGUAUUUAAUUUAUAAAAAAAA